AAUUCUGCAAUGUAUCUUUCGUCGUAGAGAUGAAAACUUUGUGACGAAAGGUUUAUGCAGCAAUAUAGGAACAGUUUUUUUUUUUGGAUUUUCGAAUAAGGAUAACUAAAUUGCAGCAGCAGUAAGGUAGGAAACCAGAACCUGUUGCAAUUCACAGGGAGAUCAAAGGAUGAUCCGCGGUGGUGGAGAUGAUGGCGGAAUUCGGCGACGAUCUUUU
rnacentral:lncRNA from 1 species